UAAUGUGUAAGAGUCACUCAGGUGGUAC
rnacentral:piRNA from 1 species